AGAGGAUACCCCUUGUGUGUUC
rnacentral:miRNA from 1 species